UACGUAGGGGGCUAGCGUUGUCCGGAAUCACUGGGCGUAAAGCGCACGUAGGCGGAUGUGUCAGUCAGGGGUGAAAUCCCGGAGCUCAACUUCGGAACUGCCUUUGAUACAGCACGUCUUGAGUCCGGAAGAGGUGGGUGGAAUUCCUAGUGUAGAGGUGAAAUUCGUAGAUAUUAGGAAGAACACCGGUGGCGAAGGCGGCCCACUGGUCCGGUACUGACGCUGAGGUGCGAAAGCGUGGGGAGCGAACAGG
rnacentral:rRNA from 1 species